rnacentral:rRNA from 1 species
GAUAAACGCUGGCGGCGUGCAUGAGACAUGCAAGUCGAACGAACGAGCUUGCUCGUUAGUGGCGGACGGCUGAGUAACGCGUAGGUGACCUGCCCCGAAGUGGGGGAUAACUGCCCGAAAGGGUGGCUAAUACCGCAUGUGGCGACGCUUUCAUUGGCGUCAUCAAAGCCGCGAGGCGCUUCGGGAGGGGCCUGCGUCCGAUUAGCUCGUUGGUGGGGUAAUGGCUCACCAAGGCGACGAUCGGUAGGUGGUCUGAGAGGACGAUCACCCAGACUGGGACUGAGACACGGCCCAGACUCCUACGGGAGGCAGCAGUCGGGAAUUUUGCUCAAUGGGCGCAAGCCUGAAGCAGCAACGCCGCGUGCGGGAUGACGGCCUUCGGGUUGUAAACCGCUUUUGUCAGGGACGAUGAUGACGGUACCUGACGAAUAAGUCACGGCUAACUACGUGCCAGCAGCCGCCGUAAGAC